rnacentral:rRNA from 1 species
UCCCGUUGAUCCUGCGGGAGAUUGCUGCUAGUAGAAUUCGAUUAAGCCAUGCAAGUCUGAUAGCAAUAUCGGCAAAAUGCUCAGUAACACGUCAAUAAUCUGCCCUACAGUCAGGGAUAAGCUCGGGAAACUGAGUGUAACACCUGAUAGGAGAUGAUGCCUGGAAUUAGCUCUUCUCUGAAACUCGCGCUGUAGGAUGAGUUGGCGGCGGAUUAGCUUGUUGGUGGGGUAAAGGCCCACCAAGGCGAAGAUCCGUACGGGCCUUGAGAGAGGUAGCCCGGAGAGGGACACUGAGAUACUGGUCCCAGCCCUACGGGGUGCAGCAGGCGCGAAACCUUUACAAUGCACGCAAGUGUGAUAAGGGGAUUCUACGUGCCCAUGCUUUGCAUGGGCUUUUGUUAAGAUUAGAUCUCUUAGCGAAUAAGGGGUGGGUAAGACCGGUGCCAGCCGCCGCGGUAACACCGGCGCCCCAAGUGGCAAUCACGAUUAUUGGGCCUAAAGCGUUCGUAGCCGGUCUAAUAAGUCCUUUGUGAAAUCGUCGUGCUUAACGCGACGGCAUGCAAAGGAUACUGUUAGACUAGGGACCGGGAGGGGUUAGAGGUAUGCCUUGGGGACUGGUAAAAUGGUAUAAUCCAAGGUAGACCGCCGAUGGCGAAGGCAUCUAACCAGAACGGAUCCGACGGUGAGGAACGAAAGCUAGGGGAGCAAACCGGAUUAGAUACCCGAGUAGUCCUAGCCGUAAACGCUGUGAGCAAGGUGUUGCCUAUCCUAAGAGGAUGGGCAGUAUCGAAACGAAGGUGUUAAGCUCACCGCCUGGGAAGUACGGUCGCAAGACUGAAACUUUAAGGAAUUGGCGGGGGAGCACCACAAGGGGUGCGGCGUGCGGUUUAAUCCAACUAUACACGGAGAACCUUACUAGAAGCGACGGCAGGAUGAAGGACAGGCUGAAGACCUUUCCCGACGAGCCGAGAGGAAGUGCAUGGCCGCCGUCAGCUCGUGCCGCAAGGUGUCCAGCUAAGCCUGGUAACGAGCAAGACCUGUAUCCACAGUUGCUAGCAGCAUUUAUGGACUGAGCACACUGUGGAGACUGCUUUCGUAAGAAAGAGGAAGGUGCAGGCAACGGUAGGUCUGUAUGCUCCGAAUCUUCUAGGCUACACGCGCGCAACAAUGGCACAGACAAUGGGAUGCAACUCCGAAAGGAGGAGCGAAUCCUCGAAACUCUGCCUUAGUACGGAUCGAGGCUUGCAACUCAGCCUCGUGACGCCGGAAUCCCUAGUAAUCGGGUGUCAUCAACGCCCGGUGAAUAUGUCCCUGCUCCUUGCACACACCGCCCGUCAAACCAACCGAGCAGGGUUUAGGUGAAACUAGGCUUUAUUGGUCUAGCUGAAUCUGAGCUCAGUGAGGUGGGUUAAGUCGUCACAAGGUA